GGGGGCAAAGUUCAAUAUCACUGCCAAGAAUGCAGCUGCAUGUGAACUCAGAUGUGGUUCACUGCAUUCUCCCAGGUGAAUGGGCUCCUCUAAAAAGAUGGGAGAUGUCGGCCUCUCCAGUGCACAGCACACUCAGAAUUACAAAUCUAAGAGGUAAAAUGAGGACUCCUGGGCCUAGAUUGAAUGAACAUCCAAUUAGGAUCAAUCAAGAAAGACUUCAUGUCCCACAGCAGCUGAGUUCUCAGGUUAAACAAAGACUAUCUUUCAGUGGCCUCCUUAUGCAGUAAGAAUUUACUGUUCAGAUCUUUCUACAAGAUACGUCUUACUCUUUAGAUUUCUGGCCACUUAGAUUAGAGCAACCCAACCACUGAAGCCAUCUCUGUCACAUGAUGCUUGUGGGCAGAAGCCAGCACUUCUAUUCUCCUCCAAGUUGGACGCUUCCCUCAAAUCUCAGCCAGCUGAGAAAACAUCCUGAUCUGAAGUUUGUCCAGGCUGUCCUGGGUGAGGAUGGAGGCACACAGCCACUGUCCCUAGUUUGUGACAUCUCGCUCUCUGUGAGAUUGAAAGGUUUCAGUUCUUCAAAAUAAUAAAAUACCUUCAGUCACAAGGGACAGGUUUGUAGGGGAGGGGGAACAAAAACAUGCAACUGGUUAGAAGAAUUCCUUUUGGAAAAAAAAUGUCACACAUACACCAAGACAUCAGGACUUUCCGGCACCACCUUCCCCUCAGGGAUUCACAGAGAGGCAAUCAUUUUCAAAGGUGAAGAAGUGAGAUUUGCUCUCUGAGUUUGGUAUUUACCCAGUGUGGCCAGGACAGAAAGUCUUUUCUCCUCUUUGGCAUGAAUUGUUUUAAAUGUGGAAGAUGGAUGCCUACAAAAAAUACGAAGUUCUGGGAAAAAAAAAAAAAAAGAUCUGUUUUUCUGUCUCACA
rnacentral:lncRNA from 1 species